GACGAACGCUGGCGGCGUGCCUAAUACAUGCAAGUUGAGCGCUGAAGGUUGGUACUUGUACCAACUGGAUGAGCAGCGAACGGGUGAGUAACGCGUGGGGAAUCUGCCUUUGAGCGGGGGACAACAUUUGGAAACGAAUGCUAAUACCGCAUAAAAACUUUAAACACAAGUUUUAAGUUUGAAAGAUGCAAUUGCAUCACUCAAAGAUGAUCCCGCGUUGUAUUAGCUAGUUGGUGAGGUAAAGGCUCACCAAGGCGAUGAUACAUAGCCGACCUGAGAGGGUGAUCGGCCACAUUGGGACUGAGACACGGCCCAAACUCCUACGGGAGGCAGCAGUAGGGAAUCUUCGGCAAUGGAGGAAAGUCUGACCGAGCAACGCCGCGUGAGUGAAGAAGGGUUUCGGAUCGUAAAAAUCUGUUGGUAGAGAAGAACGUUGGUGAGAGUGGAAAGCUCAUCAAGUGACGGUAACUACCCAGAAAGGGACGGCUAACUACGUG
rnacentral:rRNA from 1 species